CCUACGGGUGGCAGCAGUGAGGAAUAUUGGUCAAUGGACGAGAGUCUGAACCAGCCAAGUAGCGUGAAGGAUGACUGCCCUAUGGGUUGUAAACUUCUUUUAUAUGGGAAUAAAAUGUUCCACGUGUGGGAUUUUGUAUGUACCAUAUGAAUAAGGAUCGGCUAACUCCGUGCCAGCAGCCGCGGUAAUACGGAGGAUCCGAGCGUUAUCCGGAUUUAUUGGGUUUAAAGGGAGCGUAGGUGGAUUGUUAAGUCAGUUGUGAAAGUUUGCGGCUCAACCGUAAAAUUGCAGUUGAAACUGGCAGUCUUGAGUACAGUAGAGGUGGGCGGAAUUCGUGGUGUAGCGGUGAAAUGCUUAGAUAUCACGAAGAACUCCGAUUGCGAAGGCAGUUCACUGGACUGCAACUGACACUGAGGCUCGAAAGUGUGGGUAUCAAACAGGAUUAGAUACCUUAGUAGUC
rnacentral:rRNA from 1 species